AUGAUAAUUCUUCUUUGAUAUCUGGAUCAAACGCGUCUGGAAUUGGAUUCCCGGAUUGGUAAUGCCUCCACGACCAGUCCGCCAGAGAGAAUCUGAAAAACGGGUUUCGGAUUCAAGAACUGAUUUCUGGCCAUAAUGUAGUUUACCUGGAGCUAUGUAGCCAAAGGAUCCGGCAACAGCGGACAUGGAGAACAAUCAUGAUGCAUAUAACAAAGUCCCCGAGCUGCUCCAAUGGCGAUGCGUGACCGAGUUGGCCAAUCCAAGCAAGUAUCUGCACCUC